UUUUACCCCACUAGAACUCUUUGCUAAAUCAGAAGGCUCAAGUGACAGAAGAUUGAAAACCCUCUCUUCUCCAAUUCUUCAAGUCCUCUUUCUCUCACAUAAUCCAUGGCGGCCUCUCUACAUAUGAGCAGAAGAACUUGAAGCUCGAGCUCCUUCGACCCAUGAAUAGGUGAAGAGGAUUUGGUCGGUGCUUAACAUAGAUGACGAAGAACCCAUCGCAGCAGUCCAGCUCCAAAGCUGAUUCUCUCCCGAAAGCAACCAGCACCGCCACCACCUUGAUGAUGUCAUUUUGCCCAUUCUUCCUGCGAAGAAGAGAAAGGAGACUAGGGACCAGCCCAUUCUCCCUAACCCAACUCCUGCCACCUUCACCGUCACCACCUAUUUGUUGUCGGCGAAGAAGAGGGUGUGGGCACUUCCACCCGAUUUGUUCCCCGAGAAGCCAGUUUCAGAGCUGGAUUGAAUCUUGAGUACAAGCCGGAUCUCGGGGAAGAGUUAGAGGCUGGUGGAGAAACUGUUGAGUGAUAGCGGUUCUGGAGUCAAUACUCGGAUAAUAGUUCAGCUUUGACUAGCUCCAUAAUAUUCUGUAUGGUGAUGCUAAAGGAUGGUUUAAAAGAACCUGUUCUUUUCUGUAUCCAUAUGUUCUCGGAGUUGUGAACCCUGAUGCUAAAGUUGUACGAGGAUGGAACAAGUUCUUUGUCAUAUCUGUAAUAGAGAUAGUAGACCAACCAUAUAAAAUUGCUCUCAAUUAUCUCCAUGGAAGCUUUUUAGUCGACUUAAUUAUUGUUUUGCCACUUCCUCAGGUAAGCUCUCACUUUAAAUUGUUUGGAUAUGCUUGAUGUGCAAUUGUUUAAAUUUGAUCAUUAUACAAAUGUCAAAUACAAGUCAAUGCAUCGAACUUUAUAACCCUAAGAUUACUUAUCUUUAUCCUGUUUUCAUUAGCUGUUCAUCAAAUUUUUUUUUCUACAGACACCGCAUAUGAUGGGUUUUAGCUUUGAUUCAUUUCUACUGUUGUUGUUGUUGUUAUGAGCUAGUUGGUUUAAAUUCUUGUUCAGAUCAUAAUGUUGUCGGUUGUUCCUUUAGGAUCGUUUUGAGCAAAUCAAACAAAGAAUCUUCUCCGCCUGGCAGACUCUAUUUCAAUAUUUUCCCAGGUUGUAUAGGGUUCUGCCCCUGCUUGCUGGUCAAUCUCCAAAUGGCUUCUUUGUAUUCGAGUCAGCUUGGACAAAUUUUUUUAUAAGCACUCUCGCUUUUUUGUUGGUUGGCCAUGUUAUUGGGUCAUGCUAGUACCUCCUUGGCUUACAGGUGUGUGGAGUUCCUUUCCUUCUCUAACCUAAAUAUGCAGAUUCCCUUAUUUGUUUGAUAAUACAUUUGUAAUCUUUCUUGUUCCAAAGGGUUAACCAAUGUCUUCGAGAUGCCUGCCAUAACUCUAAUCUGCAGUCAUGCGGGAGUUUAAUAGAUUGUUGCAAUGCUCAAUCUAUUCCAGAGUCAACUAAAUGGAGAGAAAAUGAGGAGGUUGCUGGUUGUUUUAAUCCGGAAGGAGAUUUCUCCUAUGGAGUAUAUACUCCAGUUGUCAAUCUCACUACAAGAGAUAGCAUGACUAAAUAUUUAUACUCACUGUUUUGGGGAUUCCAGCAAAUCAGUACUCUGGCAGGAAAUCAAACUCCAAGCUAUGUUAAUGGAGAAAUUGUUUUUACCAUGAGCAUUGUCAGUCAUGGGGUUGAAAAGCCAGCUAUCCAGUGAUGAAGAACUUCUGGUUGUUCGUCUUUGGAAGGGUCUUCAAUGCUGCUGCUAUAGUGAUUCAAGAUUAUGAUGCAAUUGUGAACAAGUAAAAGUUGGCAUCAAACAUAAUAUGAAGAUAUUUAAAAGGCCACAGCAUGGAUCACUGACCAUUUAUCUUUUGCAAUCAACAAAGACGAUUCUAAUCUAGGAUGCUCUCUAUUAAUCUAGAAUGUUUUACAUUUUAAGACGGUGAUGAUAAAUUGUUGGUUUAAUUAAGUUGUUUUUAUAUAGUAUUGUUGUUGGCAUAUUAAUUUACAUUUUGUAAUGUGAUAUUGCAGUUUGUUAUCUCUCUUUUCAUCUCAAUAAAUUGUAUAGAUUUAUAUAGA